CCUACGGGAGGCAGCAGUGAGGAAUAUUGGUCAAUGGGCGCUCGCCUGAACCAGCCAAGUAGCGUGAAGGAUGACUGCCCUAUGGGUUGUAAACUUCUUUUAUAUGGGAAUAAAGUGCAGUAUGUAUACUGCUUUGCAUGUACCUUAUGAAUAAGGAUCGUCUAACUCCGUGCCAGCAGCCACGGUAAUACGGAGGAUCCGCGCGUUAAUCUGAAUUACUGGGCUGAAAGCGGUCGUAGGCGGUAGCUCCAGUCAAGGGUGAAAUCCCCGCGCCCAACGUUGGAGCUGCCGUUGAAACUGGCAAACUGGAGUGUGUGAGGGGAUAGUGGAAUGCCAGGUGUAGGGGUGAAAUCCGUAGAUAUCUGGAGGAACAUCAGUGGAGAAGGCGACUAACUGGCACAUAACUGACGCUGAGGAGCGAAAGCGUGGGUAGCAAACAGGAUUAGAUACCCGGGUAGUC
rnacentral:rRNA from 1 species